CUCUUAUCAAGAGAGGUGGAGGGACUGUGCCCUGUGAAGCCCGGCAACCAUCAAACAGAUCAUGUUUGAAAUGGUGCCAAUUCCUGCAAAGCAAUGUUGCUUUGAGAGAUGAGAG
rnacentral:ncRNA from 1 species